UACGCCGGUCGCGACCAGGGUUACGGCCACGACAACGCGUACAGCCCCCGUCCGCACGCCGCAGGCUACUCGUACCAGCCCCGCGGCUACGGCUACCAGCAGAGCGGCUACGGCUACCAGCCGGCCGGCUACGACCGCACGCCUUACGGCGGACACGGAGACUACGCUGCCCCGGCCUAUGAGCCCUCCCACUACUAGAGC